rnacentral:rRNA from 1 species
GGUGACAGCCCCGUACACAAAAAUGCACAUGCUGUGAGCUCGAUGAGUAGGGCGGGACACGUGGUAUCCUGUCUGAAUAUGGGGGGACCAUCCUCCAAGGCUAAAUACUCCUGACUGACCGAUAGUGAACCAGUACCGUGAGGGAAAGGCGAAAAGAACCCCGGCGAGGGGAGUGAAAAAGAACCUGAAACCGUGUACGUACAAGCAGUGGGAGCACGCUUCGGCGUGUGACUGCGUACCUUUUGUAUAAUGGGUCAGCGACUUAUAUUCUGUAGCAAGGUUAACCGAAUAGGGGAGCCGAAGGGAAACCGAGUCUUAACUGGGCGUUAAGUUGCAGGGUAUAGACCCGAAACCCGGUGAUCUAGCCAUGGGCAGGUUGAAGGUUGGGUAACACUAACUGGAGGACCGAACCGACUAAUGUUGAAAAAUUAGCGGAUGACUUGUGGCUGGGGGUGAAAGGCCAAUCAAACCGGGAGAUAGCUGGUUCUCCCCGAAAGCUAUUUAGGUAGCGCCUCGUGAAUUCAUCUCCGGGGGUAGAGCACUGUUUCGGCAAGGGGGUCAUCCCGACUUACCAACCCGAUGCAAACUGCGAAUACCGGAGAAUGUUAUCACGGGAGACACACGGCGGGUGCUAACGUCCGUCGUGAAGAGGGAAACAACCCAGACCGCCAGCUAAGGUCCCAAAGUCAUGGUUAAGUGGGAAACGAUGUGGGAAGGCCCAGACAGCCAGGAUGUUGGCUUAGAAGCAGCCAUCAUUUAAAGAAAGCGUAAUAGCUCACUGGUCGAGUCGGCCUGCGCGGAAGAUGUAACGGGGCUAAACCAUGCAC